UGGGCGUUCCUAAACUUGCAAAGUCGAGCGAACUGAUUAGAAGCUUGCUUCUAUGACGUUAGCGGCGGACGCGCCUGAGUAACACGUGGGCAACCUGCCUGUAAGACUGGGAUAACUUCGGGAAACCGAAGCUAAUACCGGAUAGGAUCUUCUCCUUCAUGGGAGAUGAUUGAAAGAUGGUUUCGGCUAUCACUUACAGAUGGGCCCGCGGUGCAUUAGCUAGUUGGUGAGGUAACGGCUCACCAAGGCAACGAUGCAUAGCCGACCUGAGAGGGUGAUCGGCCACACUGGGACUGAGACACGGCCCAGACUCCUACGGGAGGCAGCAGUAGGGAAUCUUCCGCAAUGGACGAAAGUCUGACGGAGCAACGCCGCGUGAGUGAUGAAGGCUUUCGGGUCGUAAAACUCUGUUGUUAGGGAAGAACAAGUACAAGAGUAACUGCUUGUACCUUGACGGUACCUAACCAGAAAGCCACGGCUAACUACGUGCCAGCAGCCGCGGUAAUACGUAGGUGGCAAAGCGUUAUCCGGAAUUAUUGGGCGUAAAAGCGCGCGCAGGCGGUUUCUUAAGUCUGAUGUGAAAGCCCACGGGCUCAACCGUGGGAGGGUCAUUGGAAACUGGGGAACUUUGAGUGCAGAAGAGAAAAAGCGGAAUUCCACGUGUAGCGGGUGAAAUGCGUAGAGAUGUGGAGGAACAACCAGUGGCGAAAGGCGGCUUUUA
rnacentral:rRNA from 2 species